UGGGGAAUAUUGCACAAUGGGCGCAAGCCUGAUGCAGCCAUGCCGCGUGUAUGAAGAAGGCCUUCGGGUUGUAAAGUACUUUCAGUCGGGAGGAAGGUGUCAAGGUUAAUAACCUUGGCAAUUGACGUUACCGACAGAAGAAGCACCGGCUAACUCCGUGCCAGCAGCCGCGGUAAUACGGAGGGUGCAAGCGUUAAUCGGAAUUACUGGGCGUAAAGCGCACGUAGGCGGUUGAUUGAGUCAGAUGUGAAAUCCCCGGGCUUAACCCGGGAAUUGCAUCUGAUACUGGUCAGCUAGAGUCUUGUAGAGGGGGGUAGAAUUCCAUGUGUAGCGGUGAAAUGCGUAGAGAUGUGGAGGAAUACCGGUGGCGAAGGCGGCCCCCUGGACAAAGACUGACGCUCAGGUGCGAAAGCGUGGGGAGCAAACAGG
rnacentral:rRNA from 1 species